UACAGAGACCUCAAGCGUUAUCCGGAUUUACUGGGCGUAAAGGGUCCGCAGGUGGUUUGGAAAGUCAUUUGUUAAAUUCCAGAGCUUAACUCUGGAGCCGCAGAUGAUACUUUCAGACUAGAGGCUGGGAGAGGCAUACGGAACUACCAGUGUAGCGGUAAAAUGCGUUAAUAUUGGUAGGAACACCAAAGGCGAAGGCAGUAUGCUGGAACAGUCCUGACACUCAGGGACGAAAGCGUGGGGAGCGAAUGGG
rnacentral:rRNA from 1 species